UGGGACUCAAACUCACAAACCACGAGAUCAUGACCUGAGCUGAAGAUGGUGCUUAACCAGCUGAGCCACCCUGGUUGCCCCUGUUCUUGAGUGCUGUCCAGAAUAAAACGUAUUCAUCCGACGACUCCAUAAUCUGUGUCCACAUAUCCUGUGCUUGUGCACCGCACAAAAUCUGACAGGGAAAGAGAGUAGAAAAUGAAAGUCUUUGUGUUGUGUUCAUACGCUGCUUCACUAGAUUGACGUCUCUCUCUCUUUUGUUUGGUACUUCUUCUUUCUAGGUUAGCGCACCUUUCUUGUCUCCAUAGUAGGGGUUGACACUAAGAAUUGAUAUCCCUUGUUUCCCUGCUCAUCAUUUUGAUUCAGGAGGUAGAAUGUGUAUCAGCCAUUAAUGGCACUUUGUUCAUCUCCUUCCAUCGACGGUGUACAACCCUUCCUUGAUUCUGAGGGACCCAGCUGCCAUGCUGUGAGGAAGCUCAGGCUAUCUUUCUGGAGAGAGAGGCAUCCUGAAGAAGCUAUGGAGGGAGACAGAAGGAGGGCACAGAAGAAACACAGGUCACCCACAGAAUCAAGUUCAGUCCUCAUUUAUUGUUUUAAGCCAUUAAGUUUUGGGUGGAGAUGUGUUACACAGCUAUUGAUAACUGAAACACUCAGAUAGUUUGUGUUCUUCAUUGUGAUCUCUUCAUUGCAUUGCGAUCUCUUCAUUGAGAGACUAUGAGAUGAUAAGAAACUAUGUGUAUAAUUUUAUGAGGACAGGCUUUCACUCCUACACCUAAUGCUAUUUUUAUUCUACUUGUAUAUCUAUCAGAUUUUAACUCUAUUCUGCCUCUAACAGGCUUAUUCCCAUACCUGAGCUUAUUUUUAAACAUAUAAAUCCCCAAUUUUCAGUCUGAAAUGAUUUUGUUUUAUGCCUACUUGGAUUAGUGUGAUCUUUUGGGGAAGAUUUCUACUCAGAACAAUUAUAUUGCUUAUGAUUUCUAGCCAUGCGAUGUUUUUAGAGGUAUAUUCAGAGGAGUGUGUUCACGGCAUUUACUGGGGAUAAAAUUGUUAAGAUCUAAUGAUGAUCUCUUUAAAAUAUUUAUUUGGUGAAACCUGAGGGUUUGGGGGACCAAUAUAAUGGCAGAAUAAUUGCUAAGUCACUGUGAAGGCAUUGCUCUAUUUAACGUGUGCAAUUUUGCACAAGCCAGGUGGAACUAAUCAAAAUACUGAAGGUAGGUUCUUGCUGUCAGCACUCUCCCAACAUUUACCUAGCUGUUUACAAGGCCAGAAAUAUGACUUUAUAUAUUGUGAGUGAAUUGGAUUUCUUAAUAAUAAACUGUAGUCGAAAUUAAGCAAUAAUUCCUUCUAAAGAGAACUGUUAGUGAUGUUUUCAGCUAUCAAGUUCUUAUUGCAUCUGCCUCCAGUCCAUCAGGGCUAUGUUUUAAAAUAUUUUUUUAACAUUUUAUUUUUGAGAGAGAGAGAGAGCAGGGGAGGGGCAGAGAGAGAGGGAGACACAGAACCCGAAGCAGGCUCCAGGCUGUGAGCUGUCAGCACAGAGCCCCACACAGGGUUCGAACUCCCGACCCAGGAGAUCCUGACCUAAACUGAAGCCUGACGCUUCACUGACUGAGCCACCCAGGUGCCCCCAUCAGGGGCAUUUUCACCCAUUUUUGACACUUACCUGUUUGUCACAACAGAGUCCCUAUGUGCAUGUAUCAGAGCCUCUAUGUGAGGUGUGGUCUGGCUUCCUGUGACACCCCUUCUCAGUGUCUGCUUUGUCUGACCAAGAGUAUCCCCCAUAUGGGUGCCUGGAGCUGGGGAGAGGUAACCCCACUGCUCUUUGUUGCCUGUCACCCUCUGCGGAGCUUUCUUCCAGAUACUCAGUGCUUGCCCUGACCUCCUAAAGGCUUCCAUUCAGAUUCUCCCUCUCAGUCUGUUCUGUUCUAGAAUAUCGUUGGCCCUUCCACUCAGAUUCCGUUGUCCUUUUUGAUUCUCCUUCAGAACUUUGUUUCGCGAUGGUGGACAGUACUCUGAGCUCAUACCCUCACGCGAGAUAACGUGUUAACCCAAAUGAGUAUCCCUGAGGAUGGAUUUUUUUAGGCCGCUGGAAAAAUAUUUUUAGACAAAAGUCUACCUUCAUUCUCUUAAGCUAAAACCAAAUCAUUUGUGGUUUCAUGAAGUAGAACUACCUUCACGUACAGACGGACUUAUCUGGAGCGCCGAGAAUUUCAUUAGUUCUAAGACUCCGGAACAUAGCGGUGAUCCCAGAGGGGAGAGAAGAAGCUGAGCAACGGUGAGAAAAUCUGUCAAAAUCACCUUGUUUUUUCUUCUAUAUCAGGCAAAGAAUCGCCUUCAGAACCGGGGAUGUAGGUUCAGGUGUGUAACUACAGAGUAGAUUUGCAGUGAUCAGGCCCACAUAAGAGCAGAGCCAAGUGGAAGGAAGACCGGGGAGACAGAAGAGGCACAGGAGGCCUGGCUCCUGGUGUGGGGGUCACAUUGGGUUGCGGUUCAAUGGCUACACAGUUCUAUUCAUGGUAGAGGCAGGGAUCCCGUUGUAUUAAUAAUGAUUGCCCCACCUCCUCAAGAAAAUGAGUUAGUUAUUUACAUGUGCUUUGUUCAAAAAGGUGACAACACGUAAUACUUUUUAAAAAGGUUGACCCCCCCCCCAAAAUUUGCUGAUAAAAGAGGUAGAACUUGAAUUAUUUGGGAAAGUUACUUAUUUAGAACAGGUCAGUCCUAAAAAUGCAAGACGUUGUGCACACCUGCACACGCACAGCAUACGCACACCGACCUGUAUUCAAACAAAGAAAGGUAACUGCCGGAUCUUGAGUCUUCCCUUUGGUCAGCUCCAUUUUUCUUUCUAUUCAUUGAUCUUUCACUUCCAAUUCACAAAGUUUCUAGUGAUUCUCUUGACCUUCUCUCUGUCACCAGUUUGUCCCUUUGCCUUGCCCUUCCCAUCCUAGUGCCAUGUGCAGGCCACCUGGCUGGGUCCUUGGCCACUGUCUGCCCAGAUGUGUCGGUGGAAGGCAUUAUGAUUCCAUGUCAUGCUUGCUUGAUUCAAUAGGGUAAGAUGCACUCAGACCCCGUGGGUGCCAUCCAGCUGGCCUGGGGGAGGCAGGGUGGGAGGGGCUGCCUUGGAGGAAGAGGCAGUGGAGAAAGACAGCAAGAGCCAGAGCUAAAGAAACCAGGCUAAGGCUUUAAGUAGCUUAAAUGAACAUGGGUAUUUUUAUUUCCUGGCUUUAUUUUCCCUCUUCAGAAAUAAUAAAUCUUCAGCAUCACUGAUGUUACCUAAGUUAAGGAGGUCAGAGGGAAGGUAAGAAAUCUCAUAUUCACACUACUACAUUUUUCUCUUCAACCACUGGUAUAGGCAUGUGCAUUUAACAAUGAACCAUUGGGGAAAUUGCUAUGGUAAUCUUAAACAAGAGAGUCAUUAUACAGAAAUUAUUGUGUAUUUUUCUACAAACGACCACCUUGGUUUGAAACAGGCUGAUUAGCUGAACUUAGUGAUAUAUUUGUCCUUUGUAUUAUAUCUCUGAGACCCUUAGGGAAGGAAAAUGACAUAUUUUAAUAGAUCCUGAGUGUUUUGAAUAUAGUGCCAUCACAUCCCAUGGCGGGGGCGGGACAAGGGGCUACACCUGCUGGGCUGGGAGCCCUCCACUCUUAGAUAUAUUUAUCAGUCCUCUCUGAGCAUCUCCAGCUCAAGCUCAGUUCAAACCUACCAAUUUCUUAGCCCCAUGAAAAGGCAAUUUUGUCUAAAACCUUGGAGUCUAUAGAUUUUGAAAUUGAAAGAAAAGUCAUGCCAAAGACUGCAUUUUACUUAAACACUUUCUUAGACCCCAAGUUUCAAAACCAACUAAAGCUAGAAAAAGACUAUGCUGUCUAGGACCUUUAACAGAUAUAUUAUUUUGCUUCCAAAUAAAGAACAAAUUGAAUUUGAGUUUCUUAAGCCAAUAGGUAUUAUUUCUUUUUAAAAACAUUUAA